rnacentral:lncRNA from 1 species
GUGGCGAUUAGCAGUGCUACUACCUUUAAGGACAUCUCACAUUUUUUCCAAAAAAUAAAUUUAUUUUUAAAAACAAAAACCAGGUAAGCCUUCUGCGGUCCAAUUUUCCAGGAAGCCAAAAUUCCAGCCUAUCAGAAAGGUUGGACAGCAGUAAUUUCACACAGACGUCACCUCUCCCCGCAGGAGACAGAAAACCUUCUGCUUGGGUGCACACACUUAAUUCUCUAAAUCUGGUUGGUACUUCUGUCAUCAUUGUAUUCUGUCCUAGGCGUCUAGCAUGCAAGAGAAUCCAUCUCUAAAAUUCAAAGUUUCUGAACUGAGAUGUGCGGUUGUUGCUCUUGAGUUGGGGUUUAUAACCAAUACAAUCAUUAAUCAUUUGUUCCUGGCUUUUGGGGUCACUGCUGAGCCCAGCAGCUCCUUCUCCAUCGCUGGUUCCUACACCUUCCACAUCUUCCUUCUGCUUCUUACAGGCCUCCAGAUCCUUCCGAAUGUUCCCAAACUCCUAAAUGUCGCCGAGCUUGAGCUCCAGGCCUCUGCUGUUCCCCAGAACCUCAACUCCCACCAAGACUCCAUUGCUGCGCAGCCCGAACUACACCUCCCCUGUGUUAUUCUUUGUCUUUGCGUUAAAAUUUAAGUAAACUGAAGAACUAGCCAGAUAUUCUCACCCAC